UACGUAGGGAGCAAGCGUUGUCCGGAAUCAUUGGGCGUAAAGCGCGCGUAGGCGGCCCCGUAAGUCCGCUGUGAAAGUCUAGGGCUCAACCCUGGAAAGCCGGCCGAUACUGUCGGACUAGAGUCCGGAAGAGGCAAGUGGAAUUCCCGGUGUAGCGGUGAAAUGCGCAGAUAUCGGGAGGAACACCAAUGGCGAAGGCAGCUUGCUGGGACGGUACUGACGCUGAGGCGCGAAAGCGUGGGGAGCAAACAGG
rnacentral:rRNA from 1 species